AGAUAAUUUUUUCAAGAAAAAACUCAUAGUACCUGUUUCAACACGAUGGAAUUCAUUUCACGACGCUCUGUCCAGGAUCACUGACAUUCCCCUUGCUGAAUUAAAUACUGUCUGCACUCAGUUUGGAAUCAAAUGCUUCACUGAUCGGGAGUAUCUGUUCCUAAAGGAGUAUUGUAUCGUGUUGAAGCCACUCACUGUUGCACUAGACAUAUUGCAAGGAGAAGAGAACUGCUAUUUUGGAAUCCUUCUUCCAACUCUGGAGAUUCUAAUGUCCAGGACGCUGGCACUGCAGGACGAGCUUAAGCUGACAGCAUCCCUCCCUGAUAUCAUUGUUAAGGCGAUCAAGGUGCGCUUUUCCUCAAUGAUGGACAAUAAAGAAGCUCUCCUGGCUGCAGUCACUUUGCCUAAAUUUAAGUUACGCUGGAUCAGAGAAGAA